UACGAAGGGGGCUAGCGUUGUUCGGAAUUACUGGGCGUAAAGGGUGCGUAGGCGGGUUUUUAAGUCAGAGGUGAAAUCCUGGAGCUCAACUCCAGAACUGCCUUUGAUACUGAAGAUCUUGAGUUCGGGAGAGGUGAGUGGAACUGCGAGUGUAGAGGUGAAAUUCGUAGAUAUUCGCAAGAACACCAGUGGCGAAGGCGGCUCACUGGCCCGAUACUGACGCUGAGGCACGAAAGCGUGGGGAGCAAACAGG
rnacentral:rRNA from 1 species